GGGAAGAGUUUCUACCUGAAGAUCCUUCCUUUUGGAGUAUUAGAUGAGUCUUGAUUCUUGGGAUGACAACAAUAAAGCCUGCUUAAAGCGACCUCUGCUUUAACCACUAGAUCUUCAUCGAGGCAGAGAGGGUCUGACGGUGUUUCAGAAGUGAGAAGCUUUCCAUGCUGGCACUGUGAGCAGCCUUUGACCGAGGGGUGAGAGCCUCACCAUCCUGCACACGGAGUCCCAAGCAGCCUUAGAUUCCCUCCCAGCUGACAUCAAUGGCGGAACUUCUACGGGCUCAGCAAGGACAACUGCAAUUGUAAACAACAAAAACAGAAAUGAGUUUUUUGCUCCGCGGUAUGAAGCCAUUUUUAUAGAUUUCCAGAAUCAGCAGGCAUAAAAAUAGUAGGUAUUUUGCAGGCUGUCUCUCCUUCCCUUGGUAAAAUUGCCUUUGUUUGUGAACUCGCUGGCAGACAAACCCAAGUGUUCUGAGGAAGGUGUGCACGUUGCGGCUCCUCAGAAGGUGUUACACGAACAAAAUUGUGGUGAGCUAUAAAGAAUGCAUCAUAAAAGCUGUGGAGCUCUAUGGAAGCAGAUCAAACACACCUAUUUUUCCUGUGGCUCUAGAGGAUAUCCUUUGUGACAAAAAAGCCACUGAUUUGAGGGUAGUUAAUUUCUAGGCUGCUUUUGAGCAAGGGAUUUU
ensembl:lncRNA